rnacentral:rRNA from 1 species
UACGGAGGGUGCGAGCGUUGUCCGGAAUCACUGGGCGUAAAGGGCGCGUAGGCGGCUGGGGAAGUCGGCGGGGAAAGCCCGGAGCUCAACUCCGGGUCGGCCGUCGAGACUCCUCGGCUCGAGCUCACUAGAGGCAGAUGGAAUUCCGGGUGUAGCGGUGGAAUGCGUAGAGAUCCGGAAGAACACCGGUGGCGAAGGCGGUCUGCUGGGGUGAGGCUGACGCUGAUGCGCGACAGCGUGGGGAGCAAACAGG